UAAAAUAAUUAAGGGCACACAAAGGAUGCCUAGGUAGUAAGAGCCGAUGAAGGACGUGGUAAGCUGCGAUAAGCCUAGAUAAGUUGCAAUCGAACGUAAGAGUCUAGGAUUUCCGAAUGGAGCAAUCUAUUAAGAUGGAGUCUUAAUACGAAAGAGGGAACCGCGUGAACUGAAACAUCUAAGUAACGCGAGGAAAAGAAAGUAAAAACGAUACCCAAAGUAGCGGCGAGCGAAAUGGGUCAAGCCUAAACCUUAAAUAUGUCAAGGAUACAGCCGUUGUAUUUAAGGGGUUGAGGGACAGAGUAGUGAAGAACUGUAAGAUAUUCAAUAUAGUGUAUUGAUGAAUUGGAAUUGUCUGGAAAGGCGAACCGUAGAAGGUGAAAGUCCUGUACAAGUAAAUCCUUACACAUAUAACUCUGCUCCCAAGUAACAUGGAACACGAGGAAUUCUGUGUGAAUCUGUGAGGACCAUAUCUCAUAAGGCUAAAUACUCUUACUAACCGAUAGCGCAUAGUACCGUGAGGGAAAGGUGAAAAGAACCCCUGGAGGGGAGUGAAAUAGAACCUGAAAUUGUGUGCUUACAAGCGGUCAGAGCCAGUAAUGGUGAUGGCGUGCCUUUUGGAGAAUGAUCCUGCGAGUUACGUUAAACGGCGAGGUUAAGUAUAACGGAGCCGAAGGGAAACCAAGUCUUAAUAGGGCGAUUUAGUCGUUUGGCGUAGACGCGAAACCUGGUGAUCUAAACCUGUCCAGGAUGAAGCUGUGGUAAGACACAGUGGAGGUCCUAACCCACCGCCGUUGAAAAGUUGGGGGAUGAGGUAGGUUUAGGGGUGAAAAGCCAAUCGAACCAGGAGAUAGCUCGUUCUCUCCGAAAUGCAUCUAGGUGCAGCCUUGAGUGUUCAAUUAUGGGGGUAGAGCACUGAAUGAUCUAGGGGGCGUAUUGCUUACUGAAAUCAAUCAAACUCCGAAUACCAUAAUUUAGAGCUCAGGAGUGAGACUAUGGGAGUUAACUUCCAUUGUCGAAAGGGAAACAACCCAGACCACCAGCUAAGGUCCCUAAUUAUAACUAAGUGGGAAAGGAGGUGGAGAUUCACAAACAACUAGGAGGUUGGCUUAGAAGCAGCCAUACCUUUAAAGAGUGCGUAAUAGCUCACUAGUCGAGAGUCUCUGCGCCGACAAUGUAACGGGGCUAAGUUAUAAACCGAAGCUGUGGAAUCCGUAAGGAUUGGUAGGAGAGCGUUCUGUAGGCCGUUGAAGGAGAAGGGUAACCGACUCUGGAGGUAUCAGAAGUGAGAAUGCAGGAAUAAGUAGCGAGAAAGGGGGCGAGAAUCCCCCUCGCCGGAAGACCAAGGUUUUCAGGGUAAAGCUUGUCUUCCCUGAGUAAGCCGGGACCUAAGCCCAGGCUAUAAUGCGUAGGCGAAUGGAAAACAGAUUAAUAUUUCUGUGCCAGUCAUAUAUUGUGAUGGAGGGACGCAGAAGGGUAUGCGCGCGGACGAACGGAAGUGUCCGUAGAAGUAUGUAGGAUGACUUGAUAGGAAAAUCCAUUGAGUUAUAUCUGAGGUAUGAUAUACAGUCGUAAGAUGAAUGUGCAAAUCCCACGCUGCCAAGAAAAGCUUCUAACGUUAAUAUUUGACUGCCCGUACUGCAAACCGACACAGGUGGUCAGGAUGAGAAAUCUAAGGCGGACAGGCUAACUCUCGUUAAGGAACUCUGCAAAAUAACCUCGUAACUUCGGGAGAAGAGGAGCCCUUGAGGGUCAGUAUCCACGCGAUACAAAGCACUCGAGGGUCGCAGUGAAGAGGCUCAAGCAACUGUUUAACAAAAACACAGGUCUAUGCUAAGCUGGAAGGCGAUGUAUAUGGGCUGACACCUGCCCAGUGCUGGAAGGUUAAGAGGAGGAGUGAGAGCUCCGAAUUGAAGCCCCAGUGAACGGCGGCCGUAACUAUAACGGUCCUAAGGUAGCGAAAUUCCUUGUC
rnacentral:rRNA from 1 species